UAAUACCCCUGUCAAGCGGGCAAGUUAAGUGCACUUAUGGGGAGUGCACUUCGGGACCUUGAGUCACACUUUAGGCAACGCGCUUCUUAACGGGAAAACAGAAUGCACUCGCAGUAAAAAAAAAAAAAAAAAAUGGCGACAGACUAAGAGCGCGUUUUUAAAGAGGUAAGUUAACAAGAGAAAGCUGCUAAAAAGCGAUUGUUUUAAGUAGAAUUAUAUAUAACAACAAACUUCAUCUAUUUGUCUCAACAAGAAACGAAGAUGUUUUUAUAAUAAGUGUGUUGCAAGUCAAUGCUGGCCAAGACGAAUGCCUAGCCAAUCCAAAACAACACGGCGGCGUGCGGCAGUUGAUUCUGCUCAUGAUCCUGCUAGAACAGAAUAUGAGCGAGUAUAUAUGAGCAAAGACGGCGAGUUCGAUAUUUAGCUACACUGCAAAAUGCCACGCACACGGCUCAAAGCACGACUGGCAUGGUCAGCACGCUUUCACACGAAAAUAAACACGUACUGAAUAAACAUGGCGGUGCCGCAGUGCCGCAUCAUUCUGGCGCCGUUAGUUGCUUACAUGAUAAAUUCGUUUCUUAAUUGUGCUGUUUCGCUUGUCGCUAAACACAAAUUAUAUUGUUAAAAGCUGCUCAAUAACUGAAAUGAACUUUUGUGUCCUUUUUCUAUGCAUUACAUUUUGCGUCGUUGAAAGCGUUGGUGGCGAGGCUAGGCACUCCUUCAAACCGUUGGCGGCGAGGCUACGCACUUGGCCAGCAAAGUGCGUUCCGUAAACGUACUCCGACUUGAGUGCACUCAUCUGAGAGUACACUCCGCUGCGACGUUAAGAUUUGGGAAAGUACACUUACAAACCGAGUGCACUCGCCGUAAGUGCACUUAACUUGCCCGCUUGACAGGGGUAUAAACCACUGCCGGCAACAAGUGCCCUUCAAGUCCUACCGCACCUGCACGCGCACUCCGAGGAGAGCCGUAUGUGUAUAAAGGCAGCCACCGCCGACAGGCCCGUGGGCGGAUGGGCUUUCUGUGCGAUGCAGCGGAAGGGAGAUGCUCCCCAGAAAGGGUGAGGCGCGGGGCAGGCUAAUCUCUCUCGCUGGGGUUGUUUGACAAAGAGACGACAAAGGAGAGGGAACGCGAUUGUGUUGAGCCGGCAGCGUACACAAGCGUCACGGACAUGAAGCUUGCUCCUACCCCUCUCUCACCUCUUAACCUUAUACCCUCUCUCACUCCCUCUCUAGUCACUGGGCCGUGCCCCCAAAUGGGAGGAAGAAACCAGUGGCUAUUCUAACAUUCGCCGGACCAAGCCAACGCGUGAACCAAGCAGAAUUCCGCCAGCCUCGAGAACGGACAUAUUCCCAAACGGCAUACAUCCAACAUCCAUGGAGCGUGACCUCAGUAGGGACUUGCAAAAGCUUCGUUUAGACGCCGCCGGCACUGAUGCGCAGGCAGAUGGAGGAAACAUCGCCGACAAGGAGCCGACCCCCGAAGCCCUUGGUCCGGACGAUCGCAUUUGUCCAGAGGAUGAGUUGUCUGUUUGCUCACACUGCCCACACCCGCCACCGGCUUGUCGCAGCUCGGUUUGCUACAUGGAACGAAUGGUCCGGGUGCACUCUCAAGAUUACCGACACACUUCGUUCCCGGAAUGCUAUCGCGACAUGUGGUGGCGUUGCAACAUAAAAAUGUGGCGUGCAGGCUGUGGAACCACGGGGUUUCCAUGGGAGCGUCGACGGGCGGCUCGCCGCAACGUCUUGGAACGGCAGCCGCCGCAGUCCGAGUGCUAACAUGGUUCCAAGAGGACUUCACCCAGAAGAAUAGCCAAGGAGUCAGCCUGAAAUGGAAAUACCACAACGUUGGUGUGCUCAGCAAGCUGUACACAGAGCAAAAGAUGUACUGGAUGCAUUGUAUUGUUUUGCAGCUUUACUGAGAGAACCACAACUCCAACUAGGUUUCAUCGAAAAACGCCAUGGCUUUUUUUUAAAUUAAGAGCUGCAAAAUCUUCCCAUAUUAAUGCUGCAUGCAUUGCACAGUUGCAUAGUCCCCUGCUAUACAUGUGAUGUCCAUACAGUUUAAUGUGGCCAGAAAAGAAUGGACUUUGACAUAUUUCUAUGCAAAACAAAAUUUAUGACUUGCAAACUUAGUUAAGCAAUUCUUAAAAAGGUCUGCUUGAUUUCAUUCUCUUCAAGAGGCAUUGCUCCAUAUAUAUAUGGAGCAAUGCCUUUUGAAGAGAAUGAAAUCAAGCAGACCUUGUUGCUCACAUAACAUGCAGUAGGCUUUUAUUUGUAGAGCAGAUCUUGCAGCUUGAGGAGCAGUUGUGAACCACCUCCAGCUCCUGAGAAUCGCUUGGGCGGCUGGACAAUACUCCUGACAGAAAACAUCCUAUAUAUAAAGAGGGAUUGCUUGACUGUUGUAGGUCCUCCGGCAACAUGUCCGAAAAAAAAUGCUUCAGUAUUUACCUCACAAGCUGGAAAAUGCACUUGUUUGCCUCUAAUGGGUUUUGUCCAAUCUUUCCCACCAGUACAAGGCGAAAACCUGCUGCAAGAAGGUUCUAAACAAGGGAUAUUGUACUUAGCAGGGUUAAUCUUAGAGCCUCGGAUGUGGGCAAAGCAGAUCUGCCUCUGCUUUGGCAGAAUUUGUAGUGGCAGCAGUUGCCUAUCCAUGCAACGCUCUCUUUCAGUGUAUGUGAAGUAAUAGUUUUCUGCGAGAAAUCAGACGUAUGUAUGAGGCCAAAAGCAUAGUUCUUACAGCAGCCUGCUCAGCUUCGUUUUACUGCUUAUGAUGGUCCUCCGAGAGUUGAAGUAGUCAAAUAAUCUGUUCAUUCUUCUGGUGAAUUCAGAUGUUGCUGCAGACUCAUGGAGCUUUUUGCAUGCUUCCUGCUCACUGUAGAAAUCCGUGGCUAUAGCUGUGAAUUGGAAAUAAAAUUUUUUCGUCGCA